rnacentral:rRNA from 1 species
UACGAGAGGCCCAAACGUUAUUCGGAAUUACUGGGCGUAAAGGGCUCGUAGGCGGCCAACUAAGUCAGACGUGAAAUCCCUCGGCUUAACCGGGGAACUGCGUCUGAUACUGGAUGGCUUGAGUGUGGGAGAGGAAUGCGGAAUUCCAGGUGUAGCGGUGAAAUGCGUAGAUAUCUGGAGGAACACCGGUGGCGAAGGCGGCAUUCUGGACCAUUACUGACGCUGAGGAGCGAAAGCCAGGGGAGCAAACGGGG